rfam:Rhodobacteraceae bacterium HIMB11 HIMB11_contig5.4, whole genome shotgun sequence.
AUCGCGGAUGCGAAACUGCCUGAUAUGCAGGCAGGAUGGGAACAGAUGAAUUCAAAUCUGAUGGCGGGUUUGACGGGGUUGAACAUGGUUUAUGAAUCUG